GUCCCUCAGGCUGGAGUGCAGCGGCGCCAUCUCAGCUGAAUGCAACCUCUGCCUCCUGGGUUCAAGAGAUUCUCCUGCCUCAGCCUCCCAAGUAGCUGGGAUUACAGGUGCGUGCCACCACGCCUGGCUAAUUUUUUGUAUUUUUAGUAGAGACAGGGUUUCACCGUGUUAGCCAGGAUGACCUUGAUCUUCUGACCUCGUGAUCCUCCCACCUCAGCCUCCCAAAGUGCUGGGAUUACAGGCGUGAGCCACAGCGCCCGGCCUUCAGCGUGCUUUUUUUUUUAAUGGUUUGCUAUAUUUACAUCUGGUUUCUCCUUCUGAAUGGGAGUUAAUUGAAGAUACAAUACAGUCAAGCAACAGGAGGAAAGAAACAACAAAUGGGAGACAUGAGGUUCCGAGGAUCAUGGUUCCAACACAGGACAGCAGAAAAGAGGAGUUGCAAAAUGACUGCUACAAAACAGACUUAAAGAGAAAACAUUCCAGUUUCACGUAGGAGG
rnacentral:lncRNA from 1 species